rnacentral:rRNA from 1 species
UUAAACGGAAGUUCGACGGGGCCGCGACAAGCGUGGAGCGAUGUGGUUUAAUUCGACGCAACGCGAAGAACCUUACCAGGCUUGACAUCCCCUGACCGCGUAUGAAAGUACGUUUUCACCUCGGGUGACAGGGAGACAGGUGGUGCAUGGUUGUCGUCAGCUCGUGUCGUGAGAUGUUGGGUUAAGUCCCGCAACGAGCGCAACCCCUACGUUUAGUUGCUAACGCGUGAAGGCGAGGCACUCUAGACGAACUGCCGUUGACAAAACGGAGGAAGGUGGGGAUGACGUCAAAUCAUCAUGCCCCUUAUGUUCUGGGCUACACACGUGCUACAAUGGCCGGUACAGACGGACGCAAAGCCGCGAGGUGGAGCAAAUCCUAAAAAGCCGGUCUCAGUUCGGAUUGCAGGCUGCAAUUCGCCUGCAUGAAGUCGGAAUCGCUAGUAAUCGCAGGUCAGCAUACUGCGGUGAAUACGUUCCCGGGCCUU